rnacentral:lncRNA from 1 species
GGAAAAGCUUCAUACCUUAAGAUUGCUCCCAGCAAUGAAGUACUGUGGCUAGAUUGUGACUUUCUCUUCUCCAGAAAGAGUAUCUUAUACUGUAGUCACUGGAAUACAUGCCCUGCCGCUAGGAGACAAGGACAGUGUGGUAAGCACAUCAAACAAACUUUGUUUCUGCUGAAGAGGUAGUUCUUGGUUUGUUGGCCUGAAGUAAGAGAAGCUUUUCAGUAGUAGUCUGAGACUGCAGUUUUCAUGAGAAAGGAGCAAGUCAAAGGAGAAGCCCAGAGCUGUGAUGUCAAGACCCCCUUCUUCAAAGGCAUCAGAAAACUAACAAGGCAGUAAAGAUCUUUAAGAAGGAGGAAAGCAGAGAAGAGAAUCCCAAAGACAGCUUCCCUGGGCAAGAAACUGACUCCCAGCCAGGGUCCCGGAUAUGCGGGGAUGCACGUGUGAGGAUGUUGUCGUCAAAAUAAACCAUUCUCGUCUUCUGGCAGAGGCUGGAUCUCCAAGGAACACUCUCCAAUCCUGGGAGCUUCAGUGAGAGGCUUGCUUUCUUGGCAGAGGCGGCAGUUGAGCUUCAUAUCUUCCCUGUGGGAUGGAAAAAAGGGACUGGAUUGUUGGUUGCAUUUUAAACUAGCUGACUGUUCUGCUUGGGGAAAUGUUGAGGAGGUGCUG